rnacentral:lncRNA from 1 species
GUACAUGUAGAAUCAUGGUUUACACAAAAGUACAUGUAAUAUCAGUUUUACCUCUAAAUUUUUAUUUGCUUCUUUAUAUAUUUUUUAUACAGAACUAACAAAUCUCACUUGACUAUUGUUGGUAAGCAUUUCUCCUUUCCUGCAAUUGGUUUGAUGGUUUUGGUGUGAUCAUAAAACUAAUAUUGUAUCUACUGGAAAAUAACACAAAAACUGAUAUGUUUUUUUUUUAUUAGUUUUUGUUUGCUUACCAUUAAAAGUACAACGGCGCCACUGAAGGUUGGUUGUUUAUCUUUUUUCCUCUUAUGUGCUCUAUGAACUGAUUACAUCAAGUAUCUCACUGUUUCUUUGGCCCAGUUGUACUGAUUUAUGUUAGUGAUGGAGCUACAAUUAUUGG